UUACCCUGGCCAAGAUUUUGCUAAAUUGAAAUACAGCGACUCAUUCUUCUCCAACUCUUGGAGUGGUCAAUCCCAUCUCGAUCACACUCUGACUUUGCUAGUACUUGACUGUGCCCAGAAGCCUUCCAUCUCUGAAUUAGAAAUUCAAUUAGUCCAGUACCAAAGCACAUGAGUUGCUUGCAAGUCACUGAGGCGAUCUCAGGUCUAAGGGACAUUUAUACCUAUAUCCCAUCAGAGACAUUCUCGACAGCAGAAUACUCUGGAGUUGGUCACGUUCAAUGAUGAUGUACUAGUACAUCUCACCUGUAUGUCAUACCAGUGUCUCCAUACUCUUUGGUUAAGAGGACAACCAACCCAUAUGGCCUACAGCGACCUAUGCUCGAUAGAAGCUGUCGUCCUUAUUAACAGCCUAUCAUUUGGUCGUGAACUGUUUUAAGGACUAAUCGAUAAAUCCUCUCUUUAUCAAAUCUAAAUAGUCCUA
rnacentral:lncRNA from 1 species